AAUUUGCGUGAGGGAUAGAGGCGGCAUCCUUUUUUUUACUGUGCCAAAGGAAGGAAAAAAAAGAUACAGCCGAAAGCCCGACCUGAA
rnacentral:sRNA from 1 species